rnacentral:rRNA from 1 species
AACGCGCAGCAUUCUGUAGCAAUACAGGGUGUGGGCGCGUGGCGAACGGGUGCGUAACACGUGGAUAACCUUCCUUCAGGUGGGGAAUAACCCAGUGAAAAUUGGGCUAAUACCGCAUAACAUUACGGGGGCACAUGCUCUUGUAUUCAAAGGCGCAAGUCGCCGGAAGAGGGAUCCGCGGCCGAUUAGCUUGUUGGCGAGGUAAUGGCUCACCAAGGCAUUGAUCGGUAGCCGGACUGAGAGGUUGGCCGGCCACACUGGAACUGAGACACGGUCCAGACUCCCACGGGAGGCAGCAGUGGGGAAUCUUGCGCAAUGGACGAAAGUCUGACGCAGCAACGCCGCGUGGGGGAUGAAGCUUCUCGGAGUGUAAACCCCUUUCGACCCGGACGAAUGCCCGCAAGGGUUUGACGGUACGGGUAUAAGAAGCCCCGGCUAACUACGUGCCAGCAGCCGCGGUAAAACGUAGGGGGCCAGCGUUGCUCGGAAUUACUGGGCGUAAAGGGUCCGUAGGCGGUGUGACAAGUCGGUAGUGAAAUCUCUGGGCUUAACCCAGAGGCUGCUGCCGAAACUGUUGUGCUAGAGUGUGAGAGAAGCGAGUGGAAUUAC